GAUGAACGCUGGCGGUAUGCUUAACACAUGCAAGUCGAACGGACUCUUCGGAGUUAGUGGCGGACGGGUGAGUAACGCGUGAGAAUCUGGCUUUGGGUUCGGGACAACCACUGGAAACGGUGGCUAAUACCGGAUGUGCCGAGAGGUAAAAGAGAAAUUGCCUGAAGAUGAGCUCGCGUCUGAUUAGCUAGUUGGUGAGGUAAAGGCUCACCAAGGCAGCGAUCAGUAGUUGGUCUGAGAGGAUGACCAGCCACACUGGGACUGAGACACGGCCCAGACUCCUACGGGAGGCAGCAGUGGGGAAUUUUCCGAAAUGGGCGAAAGCCUGACGGAGCAAUACCGCGUGAGGGAAGAAGGCUCUUGGGUUGUAAACCUCUUUUCUUAGGGAAGAACAAAAUGACGGCACCUAAGGAAUCAGCAUCGGCUAACUCCGUG
rnacentral:rRNA from 1 species